GACGAACGCUGGCGGCGUGCUUAACACAUGCAAGUCGAACGGAAAGGCCCUGCUUUUGUGGGGUGCUGGAGUGGCGAACGGGUGAGUAACACGUGAGUAACCUGCCCUUGACUUUGGGAUAACUUCAGGAAACUGGGGCUAAUACCGGAUAGGAGCUCCUGCUGCAUGGUGGGGGUUGGAAAGUUUCGGCGGUUGGGGAUGGACUCGCGGCUUAUCAGCUUGUUGGUGGGGGAGUGGCUUACCAAGGCUUUGACGGGUAGCCGGCCUGAGAGGGUGACCGGCGACAAUGGGACUGCGAGACGGACCAGAGGGCUACGGGGGGCAGCAGGGGGGAGUAUGGCACAGUGGGCGGAAGCCUGAUGCGGCAACGCCGCGUGCGGGAUGACGGCCUUCGGGUUGUAAACCGCUGUCGCCUGUGACGAAGCGUGAGUGACGGUAAUGGGUAAAGAAGCACCGGCUAACUACGUG
rnacentral:rRNA from 1 species